rnacentral:lncRNA from 1 species
AAAGCUACGAACAAUAUUUAUUAACAUUGCUUUUCUCUUGCUUUCAGUAUUUUUUGUCCUUUUUCUUUUUGAGAACUACUUUAAUUGACCAAUCUUGACCAGCCAGCCUAAUCAGCAUGGUUAUUUAUCAUUAGCCCAAAUUACCACAUGUCCUUGAAACACACACUGUAUGUGAAGAAGGCUGAUCUCCUCAGCAGGGUAGCUUAGCACCUGUUCAGCAUCUCUGCAUCCCAGAAGCACAUGCUCUAAACAAUGGAGCUUCCAAACAAUUAAUAUAAGAACAUUCUCCAGGGCUAAGCGAAAGGAGCCACUGACUGUAAAAAUGCCACAAAAGGGGAAUUAUAAGUGGUUCUAUACAGUUCCUUUUCUUAAGGAAUUAUGUAUUUAUGUGAAUCUCACAUUUCAUGGAACUAAGAAGUCAAAGUCUCUCUGAAAAUAGACACACACUUUAGAGAAAGGAAUUUGUCACUGGGUUCAGGAAAACAUAGAAUUUUGCAUUAUAUAUCUUUAAACUCUUUUUCUCUAGUCCCUUUUCUAUUUUUAUGAAAUAUUCAUGAAUUAUAACCACUAUAGGCAAGCCAUCAACUGCAUUUAGAAUUCUCAGGCAUACAUAAGAAAGCAAAUGACAUUUUUUUUUAAUGUGACAAAAAUAAUUGAUACUAUGAACAUUCCUUUCUCUACUCU